UCAGUUGGUGGACUGCCCUCGA
rnacentral:siRNA from 1 species